AACGAACGCUGGCGGCAGGCCUAACACAUGCAAGUCGAGCGGACCCUUCGGGGUUAGCGGCGGACGGAUGAGUAACGCGUGGGAAUAUGCCCUUCUCUACGGAAUAGUCCUGGGAAACUGGGGGUAAUACCGUAUACGCCCUUUGGGGGAAAGAUUUAUCGGGGAAGGAUUAGCCCGCGUUGGAUUAGGUAGUUGGUGGGGUAAUGGCCUACCAAGCCGACGAUCCAUAGCUGGUUUGAGAGGAUGAUCAGCCACACUGGGACUGAGACACGGCCCAGACUCCUACGGGAGGCAGCAGUGGGGAAUCUUAGACAAUGGGGGCAACCCUGAUCUAGCCAUGCCGCGUGAGUGAUGAAGGCCUUAGGGUUGUAAAGCUCUUUCAGCUGGGAAGAUAAUGACGGUACCAGCAGAAGAAGCCCCGGCUAACUCCGUG
rnacentral:rRNA from 1 species